GACGAACGCUGGCGGCGUGCUUAACACAUGCAAGUCGAACGGAAAGGCCUGCAGCUUGCUGCGGGUACUCUAGUGGCGAACGGGUGAGUAACACGUGGGUGAUCUGCCUUGCACUUCGGGAUAAGCUUGGGAAACUGGGUCUAAUACCGGAUAGGACAGCUGUUUAGUGUCAGUUGUGGAAAGUUUUUUCGGUGCAAGAUGAGCUCGCGGCCUAUCAGCUUGUUGGUGGGGUAAUGGCCUACCAAGGCGUCGACGGGUAGCCGGCCUGAGAGGGUGUACGGCCACAUUGGGACUGAGAUACGGCCCAGACUCCUACGGGAGGCAGCAGUGGGGAAUAUUGCACAAUGGGCGGAAGCCUGAUGCAGCGACGCCGCGUGGGGGAUGAAGGCCUUCGGGUUGUAAACUCCUUUCGACAGGGACGAAGCUUUUGUGACGGUACCUGUAUAAGAAGCACCGGCUAACUACGUG
rnacentral:rRNA from 1 species